rnacentral:rRNA from 1 species
UGCUCGAGUGGCGAACGGGUGAGUAACACGUGAGUAACCUACCCUUGACUUUGGGAUAACUUCAGGAAACUGGGGCUAAUACCGGAUAGGAGCUCCUGCUGCAUGGUGGGGGUUGGAAAGUUUCGGCGGUUGGGGAUGGACUCGCGGCUUAUCAGCUUGUUGGUGGGGUAGUGGCUUACCAAGGCUCUGACGGGUAGCCGGCCUGAGAGGGUGACCGGCCACAUUGGGACUGAGAUACGGCCCAG